rnacentral:rRNA from 1 species
AUGCAUGUCUAAGUAUAAGCAAUUAUACAGCGAAACUGCGAAUGGCUCAUUAUAUAAGUUAUCGUUUAUUUGAUAGUACCUUACUACUUGGAUAACCGUGGUAAUUCUAGAGCUAAUACAUGCUAAAAAUCCCGACUUACGAAGGGAUGUAUUUAUUAGAUUAAAAACCAAUGCCCUUCGGGGCUCACUGGUGAUUCAUAAUAACUUCUCGAAUCGCAUGGCCUUGCGCCGGCGAUGGUUCAUUCAAAUUUCUUCCCUAUCAACUUUCGAUGCUAGAGUAGUGUUCUAGCAUGGUUACAACGGGUAACGGAGGGUUAGGGCUCGACCCCGGAGAAGGAGCCUGAGAAACGGCUACUACAUCCAAGGAAGGCAGNAGGCGCGCAAAUUACCCAAUCCCGACACGGGGAGGUAGUGACGAUAAAUACUGAUACAGGGCUCUUUUGGGUCUUGUAAUUGGAAUGAGUACAAUUUAAAUCCCUUAACGNNNNNNNNNNNNNNNNNNNNNNNNNNNNNNNNNNNNNNNNNNNNNNNNNNUCCAAUAGCGUAUAUUAAAGUUGUUGUGGUUAAAAAGCUCGUAGUAGAACCUUGGGCCUGGCUGGCCGGUCCGCCUCACCGCGUGCACUGGUCCGGCCGGGCCUUUCCCCCUGUGGAACCUCAUGCCCUUCACUGGGUGUGUGGGAAAACAGGACUUUUACUUUGAAAAAAUUAGAGUGCUCCAGGCAGGCCUAUGCUCGAAUACAUUAGCAUGGAAUAAUAGAAUAGGACGUGUGGUUCUAUUUUGUUGGUUUCUAGGACCGCCGUAAUGAUUAAUAGGGACAGUCGGGGGCAUCAGUAUUCAAUUGUCAGAGGUGAAAUUCUUGGAUUUAUUGAAGACUAACUACUGCGAAAGCAUUUGCCAAGGAUGUUUUCAUUUAUCAGGAACGAAAGUUAGGGGAUCGAAGACGAUCAGAUACCGUCGUAGUCUUAACCAUAAACUAUGCCGACUAGGGAUCGGACGAUGUUAUUUUUUGACAUCGUUCGGCACCU